rnacentral:rRNA from 1 species
UACGUAGGGGGCAAGCGUUGUCCGGAUUUAUUGGGCGUAAAGCGCUCGCAGGUGGUUCGUCGCGUCGUGCGUGAAAGACCCCGGCUCAACUGGGGGCGUGCGGGCGAUACGGGCAGACUGGAGUACUGCAGGGGAGACUGGAAUUCCUGGUGUAGCGGUGGAAUGCGCAGAUAUCAGGAGGAACACCGGUGGCGAAGGCGGGUCUCUGAGCAGUAACUGACGCUGAGGAGCGAAAGACGUGGGGAGCGAACAGG